rnacentral:rRNA from 1 species
AGUGAACGCUGGCGGUAGGCCUAACACAUGCAAGUCGAACGGCAGCACAGUAAGAGCUUGCUCUUACGGGUGGCGAGUGGCGGACGGGUGAGGAAUACAUCGGAAUCUACUUUUUCGUGGGGGAUAACGUAGGGAAACUUACGCUAAUACCGCAUACGACCUACGGGUGAAAGCAGGGGAUCUUCGGACCUUGCGCGAUUGAAUGAGCCGAUGUCGGAUUAGCUAGUUGGCGGGGUAAAGGCCCACCAAGGCGACGAUCCGUAGCUGGUCUGAGAGGAUGAUCAGCCACACUGGAACUGAGACACGGUCCAGACUCCUACGGGAGGCAGCAGUGGGGAAUAUUGGACAAUGGGCGAAAGCCUGAUCCAGCCAUACCGCGUGGGUGAAGAAGGCCUUCGGAUUGUAAAGCCCUUUUGUUGGGAAAGAAGAGCAGCAGGUUAAUACCUCGCUGUUCUGACGGUACCAAAAGAAUAAGCACCGGCUAACUUCGUG